AACCUGGUUGAUCCUGCCAGUAGUCAUAUGCUUGUCUCAAAGAUUAAGCCAUGCAUGUCUAAGUAUAAGCAAUCUAUACUGUGAAACUGCGAAUGGCUCAUUAAAUCAGUUAUCGUUUAUUUGAUAGUACCUUACUACUUGGAUAACCGUGGUAAUUCUAGAGCUAAUACAUGCUAAAAACCCCGACUUUUGGAGGGGUGUAUUUAUUAGAUAAAAAACCAAUGCCCUUCGGGGCUCCUUGGUGAUUCAUAAUAACUUAACGAAUCGCAUGGCCUUGUGCCGGCGAUGGUUCAUUCAAAUUUCUGCCCUAUCAACUUUCGAUGGUUAGGUCUUGGCUAACCAUGGUUUCAACGGGUAACGGGAAAUUAGGGUUCUAUUCCGGAGAGUGAGCCUGAGAAACGGCUAACACAUCCAAGGAAGGCAGCAGGCGCGCAAAUUACCCAAUCCCGACACGGGGAGGUAGUGACAAUAAAUACUGAUCCAGGGCUCUUUUGGGUCUUGGAAUUGGAAUGAGUACAAUUUAAAUCCCUUAACGAGGAACAAUUGGAGGGCAAGUCUGGUGCCAGCAGCCGCGGUAAUUCCAGCUCCAAUAGCGUAUAUUAAAGUUGUUGCAGUUAAAAAGCUCGUAGUUGAACCUUGGGCCUGGCUGGCUGGUCCGCCUCACCGCGUGUACUGGUCCGGCCGGGCCUUUCCUUCUGGGGAAUCGCAUGCCCUUCACUGGGUGUGUCGAGGAUCCAGGACUUUUACUUUGAAAAAAUUAGAGUGU
rnacentral:rRNA from 1 species